rnacentral:rRNA from 1 species
GAUGAACGCUGGCGGCGUGCUUAACACAUGCAAGUCGAACGAGAAUCAGUGGAUUGAGGAUUCGUCCAAAUGAAACUGAGGAAAGUGGCGGACGGGUGAGUAACGCGUGAGGAACCUGCCUCGGAGUGGGGAAUAACGGUUGGAAACAGCCGCUAAUACCGCAUAAUGCAGCUGAGCCGCAUGGCUCUGGCUGCCAAAGAUUUAUCGCUCUGAGAUGGCCUCGCGUCUGAUUAGCUGGUUGGCGGGGUAACGGCCCACCAAGGCGACGAUCAGUAGCCGGACUGAGAGGUUGGCCGGCCACAUUGGGACUGAGACACGGCCCAG